rnacentral:rRNA from 1 species
UUAUGUAUGUAAUAAAUAAAGAUCACUUUCAACAACGGAUCUCUUGGCUCUCGCAUCGAUGAAGAACGUAGCGAAGUGCGAUAAGUAAUGUGAAUUGCAGAAUUCCGUGAAUCAUCGAAUCUUUGAACGCAAAUUGCACUCUCUGGUAACC